CCUACGGGAGGCAGCAGUGGGGAAUAUUGCACAAUGGGGGAAACCCUGAUGCAGCGACGCCGCGUGAGUGAGGAAGUAUUUCGGUAUGUAAAGCUCUAUCAGCAGGGAAGAAACUGACGGUACCUGACUCAGAAGCCCCGGCUACCUACGUGCCAGCAGCCGCGGUCAUACGUAGGGGGCAAGCGUUAUCCGGAUUUACUGGGUGUAAUGGGAGCGUAGACGGUUAAUCAAGUCAGAGGUGAAAACCCAGGGCUCAAACUUGGGACUGCGUUUGAAACUGUAGUUCUUGAGUGUUGGAGAGGCAGGCGGAAUUCCGUGUGUAGCGGUGAAAUGCGUAGAUAUACGGAGGAACACCAGUGGCGAAGGCGGCCUGCUGGACAAUAACUGACGCUGAGGCGCGAAAGCGUGGGGAGCAAACAGGAUUAGAUACCCCUGUAGUC
rnacentral:rRNA from 1 species